AAGCUCCCUUUGGCAGCUCAUAUACUAAAAUUGGAACAAUACAGGAAAUAUUAGCAUGGACCAUGCUCAAGAAUGACAUGAAAAUUUGUGAAAUGUUCCAUAUUUUU